rnacentral:rRNA from 1 species
AGAGUUUGAUCCUGGCUCAGGACGAACGCUGGCGGCGUGCCUAAUACAUGCAAGUCGAGCGGAUUGAACGGGAGCUUGCUUCCGUCGGUUAGCGGCGGACGGGUGAGUAACACGUGGGCAACCUGCCCGUAAGACCGGGAUAACUUCGGGAAACCGGAGCUAAUACCGGAUAACACCGAAGACCGCAUGGUCUUCGGUUGAAAGGCGGCUUUGGCUGUCACUUACGGAUGGGCCCGCGGCGCAUUAGCUAGUUGGUGAGGUAACGGCUCACCAAGGCGACGAUGCGUAGCCGACUUGAGAGGGUGAUCGGCCACACUGGGACUGAGACACGGCCCAGACUCCUACGGGAGGCAGCAGUAGGGAAUCUUCCGCAAUGGACGAAAGUCUGACGGAGCAACGCCGCGUGAGCGAAGAAGGUCUUCGGAUUGUAAAGCUCUGUUGUUAGGGAAGAACAAGUACCGUUCGAAUAGGGCGGUACCGUGACGGUACCUAACGAGAAAGCCACGGCUAACUACGUG